rnacentral:rRNA from 1 species
CUACCGAAGAGCAGUCGGCUGCUACUGAUCCAGUCGGUCCUUUGUGCAAUCCCGGUGCACUCGAUGAUAGCCAUGGGCCUGCCUCCGAAAACGAUCAAGGCGAUCAUCAAGAAUUGCAGAAGUUUCCUGUGGUGUGGAAAGGAGGAAGCAGGAGGAGGUAAAUGUGUUGUUGCUUGGGAGACUCUCUGUCGACCAAAGUGGGCAGGUGACCUUGGUGUCCCUAACCUGAGGUGGAUGAAUGUGGCUUUGCAAGCUAAAUGGCUAUGGUUGCAGCACACAGACCCGUCUAGACCAUGGGCAGAGUUCUGUUUUUCAAUCACUGAUGAGGCAAAAGGCCUGUUUCAGGCAACGACUAGACUGACCCUUGGUGAUGGUCGCCUCGCUUUGUUCUGGGAGGAUAGAUGGUUAAAUGGUUACCGAAUACAAGAGCUGGCUCCGGCGGUAUAUGAAAAGGUGCCAAAGAAAGUUCGAAGCUCCAAAGCUGCGGCUGAAGCUCUGCUGGAUGCAAUGUGGGCCCAUGACAUUGGACCAAACUUGGACGAGACCAGGCUUCGACAGUUUCUGGAGAAGGAUGGCAAUUCUCGGCGAGGUCGGCGUACGCGGCCAGGUUUACCACACUCCAGGUCUCUCCGACGGCAGUUUUCACCUGGGCAUCGAACACACCUUUGUGUUGUCGUUUCUUUGCUUGGUCGGCCCUGCGGAACAGGGUGUGGACUUCUGACAGGCUUGCAAAGCGUGGACUCCAACACCACAAUGCAUGCCCACUUUGUGACCAGGACGAUGAAGAUAUAA